AACCGGGGCUGGAGGCUCUCAUACAGGGCUACAGGAAAUGAGUGCCCAGAGCUACAGCCUCCUGUCCAUGGGAAAAUCGAGCCCUCCCAAGCCAAGUAUUCCUUCAAAGACCAAGUGCUCGUCAGCUGUGACACAGGCUACAAAGUGCUGAAGGUGCAGAGCCUUGCCUGGGAAAGGGGAGUGACCAGGCCACAGAAACUCUCCAAACCUGCCCCCUCCCCAGGGCAGAUGGGCUGCCAGAACUUGUCAUAGUUCCAGCACAGAAUUUCCUAGCUGCCCAUCAACUUUUCAAAUGCUCCAGAAAUUCCAAAGCAUGCGUCCCAGGCUGUCUCACACUCUGAAAGUGGCACAAAAGUUUGUUUGUUUGUUAUUUUAAUCAGAGCAUGAGCUGGUUUGAAUUUUUAAAUUAU
rnacentral:sRNA from 1 species